rnacentral:rRNA from 1 species
AGAGUUUGAUCCUGGCUCAGAUUGAACGCUGGCGGCAGGCCUAACACAUGCAAGUCGAGCGGUAACAGAAAGUAGCUUGCUACUUUGCUGACGAGCGGCGGACGGGUGAGUAAUGCUUGGGAACAUGCCUUGAGGUGGGGGACAACAGUUGGAAACGACUGCUAAUACCGCAUAAUGUCUACGGACCAAAGGGGGCUUCGGCUCUCGCCUUUAGAUUGGCCCAAGUGGGAUUAGCUAGUUGGUGAGGUAAUGGCUCACCAAGGCAACGAUCCCUAGCUGGUUUGAGAGGAUGAUCAGCCACACUGGAACUGAGACACGGUCCAGACUCCUACGGGAGGCAGCAGUGGGGAAUAUUGCACAAUGGGCGAAAGCCUGAUGCAGCCAUGCCGCGUGUGUGAAGAAGGCCUUCGGGUUGUAAAGCACUUUCAGUCAGGAGGAAAGGGUGUGAGUUAAUACCUCAUAUCUGUGACGUUACUGACAGAAGAAGCACCGGCUAACUCCGUGCCAGCAGCCGCGGUAAUAC